rnacentral:lncRNA from 10 species
CCCGGGUUGACGCCAUUCUCCUGCCUCAGCCUCCCGAGUAGCUGUAGCUGGGACUACAGGCGCCCGCCGCCACGCCCGGCUAAUUUUUUGUAUUUUUAGUGGACACGGGGUUUCACCGUGUUAGCCAGGAUGGUCUCUAUCUCCUGACCUCGUGACCCGCCCGCCUCGGCCUCCCAAAGUGCUGGGAUUACAGGCGUGAGCCACGGCGCCCGGCCUGACAUUUCUAAUAGUGCAUGUAUUAAGAUGAAGAAGGAGGAGGAUUGGAGAACUGAGUAAAGGAAGAGGAGGACGAAGAAAGAAAAAGAAACCGAGGGACCAUUUUAAAUAAAAGAUAAAUCAAGAGAAAACUGUCUUACCAGAUUGCAUUCCCCAAAGUGAGGGCAGUCCAGAGUGGCACACCAAAGUAUUUCUGAUGCCAGAACUUCACCAUCAGAGACAGCAGUCCUCUUCCCUGGCCUGGACAAGAUCCCCAAGGUACUCACAAUACUUCUCAUGGAUUGAGGCAUGAAAAGGUCUCCUGAUGAAGGACUCAAGUUGGUGGAGAAGCUGAUCGUCCACCUCGAUCUCACUUUUUCCAGUGUAGAAAUGGAUAUAUUUUUGCACUCCGUAGAGAAUGUGACCUACAGGAUCCACUAGCAAAAGAAAUCUGACUGUUAGAGGUUAAAGGAACAGUAAAGAUCUAGUUCCACUUUUGAAUCCUGCAGAUGGGAAAUUUGAAACUUGGAGAGUUAGUGGUUUUCUCCAAGGUCACAUCAAGACAGAAGUCAAGCCAGGAUAAAAAUCAAGGGAAAAACAGUGACAUGGUGGGAGAAGUGUUCCCAAACUCUGAAUGCAAG